CAAAGUGAUUUUUUUUUUAACAACUAACAACUGUUUUAAAAAGUGCAUUACUUCGUUGUGAAAAACAGCAAGCCUUUCGCUAAUUAUGUUCAUUAUGGUAAUCGCAAGUGCAGACCAAAUUGAACUUAAAUGGAAACUCUUAAAAUGCACUUACUAGUCCGUAACAGUUCGUGCUUAACGAUGUCAAAAAUCCUAAAAGCGUUUGUCAUCAAUUUUACGUUAGAAAAAGAAUGGAAUUCCGUAAUUAAUUCUACUGGUAGAAUGUGAAAAAUACCUAAGUAUUGCGGACCAUAUUACAAAAAUUUUUUUUUAGAAAAAUAUAUACAUUUUUGAUAAAAUUUGUACCAUUUAAAAAAAAACCGUAUUUACAAAUUAAGAUACAAGCAAUAAAAUAGACUUACAUACA